AUUCAUUUCAUAUAAGGCCCCGGAAAACACUGAGACCUCUGUCCCAGCGGUUCCUUGUCUCUGACCUAAUCAGCAUGGCAUCUGGCCUUAAUUUUGUGAAGGAGCAAGUCAUGUAGCCCAAGGCAUCAUCCCCAGACCAGGAGGGACACAUCUGGGCUUUAGCCUUUCCAGGCAAUCAGUCAAAAGGCAAUUGUGAGAGGCAGUACCCCAGUGACCCAUUGCCCCCCAUUAGGCCCCCCACCCAGUGCAGCUCUUUCCCUCCUAGGGUCGCACCUGGUGAUGCUCUGGGAGUCCAGCUGCUCUGACCAUUCACAGGGACAAAGAAGGGGAAGGAAGGUCAUGGCUUUAGAGCUGGAGGGAACCACGGAGGUCAUUCUGACCCAACUCCUUCAUUCCAGGGAGAAGACACUGAGGACUGGAGAGGUUCAAUGAUUUAUCCAAGGUCAUAAUGGGAACCAGGGCUAGAGCUGGGAUUCACAAGGAGAGUAAAAUUUAGAAGUCCGAUCUAUCCGAACUAACCUUUGGAAUCUGCUGUGGCUUUAUGAUUUGGUUCUUCCCAUUGCUUAACCUCCAAUGGCAAAGUCUAGAGCAGUGAAGCAUCCUUACAGGCUUAGAAAACCACAAACGAACAUUAUCUAUGUUGUGUUGCAUUCUUAUUUAUGUUAUUAAAUGUUUCCUAAUUAUAUUUUCAUCUAUUUUGGGCCUCAGUUGGGAGUUUGAAGGCCAGCUUGGCAGGCCCCAGGUUUGACUCCUUUAUCAGCAACAAUUUCUUUUGUGCUUUACCAUGAACUUUGCAGACUCCCGGAUAGCAUUACCUUUACCUAAGUGAUCUCACAACAAUCCUGAGACCCCGAGGAAGACGCUGCAGGCAUUAUUACCCCCAUCGUACUGAUGAGGAAAUGGAGACCUGAGGAGAAGGGAAGUACCCAUGGUUACAUGGCUAGUUGAGUGCAAGGUUUAGCACUCUCUCCUCUGUGACACUAUGCCUGGCUGGCAUGCUCCGAUGCCAUCUCCUCCUUAGCAGCCUCCCCUAAUCUCCACCAAAAGGCCCUCUUCCUCCUCCAAUUGUUCUGAAAUGGUUUUAUCUGUUAUACUUCAAACAGUAGAGCAUCUUUCCCCUAACUCCCACCUCCACUAGAUGACGAGCUCUUUGAGGGGGAGGACUGUAUAAUUUUUCUUCUUUAGUUAUCCUCAGUGCCCAGCACAGCAUAUGCACUAGAGUAGGCUCUUAGUGGAUGCUGCAAGGCGAGAAAAGACUUUUUCUUCUUUCAGAGAGAAAAGGCUUGACUGAGGCAGGGAGAAAGAGUGACUACCCUCCAGGCCUCCCUCAGCAUUUUCUCUGUGAGGAGCAGCAUUUAAGGAGAAUGUUUCUAAAAGUUCUGAAAACACCGAGAAGCCACAGGUCCUAACAGAUAAGAAAAGCCUAUUUAUAGAAGUCUGGGUGGACUGUCAAUGGGACCAAAGUGAGUAUCUGAUACUGAGACUACAUAGAAGUGGCAUGGUUGGGAACUGCAGCGUUUUUUUUUUUUAAACUCUUACCUUGGUAUCAAUUAAUUCAUUAAUGAAUUGAGUCUUAGUAUCAAUUCUAAGAUUGAAUAGUGGCAAAGGCUGAGCAAUUGGGGUUAAGUGACUUGCCCAGGGUCACAUAUCUAGGAAGUGUCCCAGGCCAUAUUUGAACUCCAGACCUGGUGUUUUAUCUAUACCUAGUAGCUGCUCCAAAUGUUCUUGCUGACUGAAUAUUCUGAAUAGAAGAUGAUACAUGGGGAAGGGCCCAGGACUUGAAGAAAGAAGAUCUGGGCUUCAGUCCUUGGAUUCAAACCUCUGUGAAUCCAGGCUUUUAGAGUUGCGUUUCUCACCUGGCCCCUGACUUGUGGCUGCAGUGCUGCGUGUGAAGGCAGGAUGGAGACCCAAAGAGACAGGAGUGGGUGAGACUGGAUGGAUGCUGAAUUCCCUUUUGACUCUGAAACUCUGCACAUCUGUGAUCCUAUUUGUACCUGGUCAGCAUCAUUAUGAAUCACCAUUUAUUGCUCAUCAAAUACUAUUGAUUAUUCCAAAGUGGUUUUGGAAUGCCCUCUCCUCCAUGAGCUUCAGUGGUAUCCUAUGGCAGAACUUUGUUUUGUAAAUGUCUAGUUAUAUGGACAGCUAGGGAGUACUGUGUCUGGAGUCAAGAAGACAGUCUAGUCAGAAUCCAGCUUCAGAUACUUACUAGUUGUGUGGCCCUGAACAAGUCACUUAACCCUGUCUGCCUCAGUUUCCUCAUCUGUCAAAGGAGCCAGAAAAGGAAAUGGCAAACCAUUCCAGUAUCUCCCUCAAGAAAAUUCCAAAUGGAGUUGUGGAGAGUUGGACAUGACUGAAAAACAACUUACCAAUAAGUUAUUGGGUACAAGCUUCUAGAGACACUAGAAAAACACAUCCAAAGAACUGACUAUCCAGGUAUCCCCUCCCACAUCUUGGGGAGUUAGGGGUGUGAUACUCUGUCAAUUUGGAAACUCUCCAUAAAAUUUUUUGGCCCUCCCUUUGUAACAGAGAAGUCUGAAUUUUUUCUUUUUUCUUUUAUGGAGUGUUUACAGUACUUAUAUGCAUUUAUGAGUUCCUAAACCUUUAAAGAUACAUCUACAAUUCUAGCCUUUGUGUGUCAUCUGCUCACUUCAUGUUCUUUUUGCAAACUUUAACUUUUGACUUAUUUUAAUUCUAUUUUUAAAAAACCCUCACCUUCUGUCUUGGAGUCAAUACUGUGUAUUGGUUCCAAGGCAGAAGAGUGGUAAGGGCUAGGCAAUGGGGGUUAAGUGACUUGCCCAGGGUCACACAGCUGGGAAGUGUCUGAGGCCAGAUUUGAACCCAGGACCUCUGGUCUCUAGGCCUGGCUCUCAAUCCACUGAGCCACCCAGCUGCCCCCUACUUAUUUUAAUUCUAAAAAAGCAAUUGUGUACAUUUGUUAUUAGAAGAUGAAAUAUGUUGAUAUUAUACAGUGCUUGACAUAUAUUUUAUACACUUCUGAGUUUCUAAAUGUUUUCUAUGUCAUCUGCUGGCCUUUCUGUGUCAUCUGAAGCUCCUGUAAAACUUCCCCCAAAUUCCCAUUUCAUUUCUUCUGCUGAUCCGUGAUGUAUUGAAACCAUGUUGAGGUAAGUCGUGAUGUGGAAGGGAUCCCUGUACUUUGAGAUUCCCCUCUUCCUCCUCCCCCUAUUCUAGGCCUCCCUGGUCAUAAUGACUGACGUCUAAACCCAAAGCCAUUUAGAUAACUGUGUCUUUGAACCACAGAGAUUGGGCUAAGCCUCAGAAACUAAAAGUACUCUGGCAAUAUGCAAGUCCUUCACUAUGCUGGAUAAACUGCUAAAAAUUCAG